GCAGAAGUCUACGUGACCAUCAUCAUCAUCAAGCCCUUCCACAUGUUCCUCUAAGGCUCUUUUCCAUACUGAACAGAGUGUCUGAACAUCUUCAUCAUUUCCUUCACCCCCUGGUUCAGCCCCAUAGGUAUCUACAAAAGAACGAAGCACCACUACCUUGAAUUCACCCGGACUCGCUAACAGAACCCAGCCACUUCCGGGUCCCUUCCUUCCUUCUGGUCCCCUUCUGAUGAUGUCAUUACUCCCAUCCACGGCCACGGUUCCUUCCCAGCAUUAUGUCUGCCUGCUUCUGGUUCCACCCCAUAAAUUGUCCGCCUUCACUACCAUCUUUGUCUGUUGUAACUUUGGAGAAAAGCACUGACCUUACUUACUUUACAGUAUACGGGGCCUUUAUGCUUGUUUUGUGUUCUUUUUACACCUUAUACUUGUCCAUCAAGCACCUUGGCCUCACAUGUCAGCAUAUGAAGAAGGCCAUCAAGAGCAUCACGGUGGGUGCAGGAGAGGCUUCCAGAUGGCCUUGGAUCAGGAGGGGUGAUCCAUGGUCCACCUUGCUCCUUGGACACAGGCAAUGGUUUGAGCACCUCUGGCCAGGUCACAUAAGUAAGGAUGUAUGGUUUUUAAAGACACAAAAUACCCAGUGAACCUAAGUUCCAUCACUGAAGAUGAGUCUGAGGUGCAUCAAGAGAGGUAUGUUAUUAUGGUACCUACUUUGGGGUUUCCCUUGUGUCAUCUGUCCUUAUGCUUAUGAUUUCUUUAACAAAAAAACCUUAUUUGGUUUCCUUGGCACUUCUCUCUUGAGUUCAGAAGAACAUCAAUAGCAGCACCUUCUCUUGACACUCCUUAUAAAAUAAAGCUUGUUUGCCUGCCCUGUCCCUCGACUAGUAUUGGAUCCGUACUAAGAUUUUGACUUUGGUGUCGAUAGCAGCUUUUGGACUGUUAGUAUCAGCCGCAAAACAAUUAACACAUAAACCCGUCUCAUAGCAUCCUCCUU